UUUUUUUUUUUAAAUGUAGGGCAGUCCCGAUAUGUUGAUGAUCAUGUACUUAUAUAUACAAUUCUGGCUGAGAAAUUUGUUCUUUCAAGGGUUAUCAAUGCAUGUAGUUUGACGUGGCUAAUAGAGAUUAGUAUGUUUUUGGCUUAGUUUCUAGAUGCAGAUGGAUAAUCUGUGUUCUUUAGCUCUUAGCUUCACUUAGUAACAAAUUUUGUCUUAAAUAAUUGUACCCCACUAGAAAACCUAGUAGCCUAGUGGUAAUGACACGUCAAGUACAAGUAGAGAUUCAGAACCUCAAAUGUAUAAGUUACACUGUGUGCGAAUCCCGGAUAAAUCAAAACCUUAAUGCGGGUACCGAGACAUUGGUGGGUAAACCUAAAAAACAACCUCAAAUAUAUAGGUUGAAGCUUUAAUGCGGGUAGUGAGAUACCGGAUGGGAAACCUAAAAAAGAACUCAAAUAUAUAGGUUACACUACACGCGAAUCCUGGAUAAAUCGAAGCCUUAACGUGGGUACUGAAACACCAGAUGGGUAAACCUAAAAAAAAACCUCAAAUAUAUAGGUUACACUGGGCGCGAAUCCCGAAUAAAUGCGAGUAGACACCGGGUGAGUAAACCUAAAAAAGAACCUCAAAUAUAUAGGUUGAAGCUUUAAUGCGGGUAGUGAGAUACCGGAUGGAAAACCUAAAAAAAAAUUCAAAUAUAUAGGUUACACUACACGCGAAUCCUGGAUAAGUCGAAGCCUUAACGUGGGUAUUGAAACACCAGAUGGGUAAACCUAAAAAAGAACCUCAAAUAUAUAGGUUACACUGGGCACGAAUCCCGAAUAAAUGCGAGUAGACACCGGGUGAGUAAACCUAAAAAAGAACCUCAAAUACAUAGGAUAUGCACAGUGAUACUAUUUUAUUGUGGCAAUAAGAUCAAUGUCCUGAAGUUUCUUGGAUUGAAGCAUUGGUUCUUUGCUAUUUCUCCAAAUCUGUAAUUAAAUGUACUACUCCAUGCCUGCUACACUUUUCCAAAAUAUGAAACUAUUUAAGUUCCAAUCACCUAAUGUAACAUACUUAUACCAUCUACUAGAACCUAAAUAGCUUUAUCUAUCUGCAUUUCCCUACUAAAGACUAGACCAAGAGACAGAUAUAACUCCACACAUUCUCUUGAAGAAAUAACACUUUCUGAAUCAAGAUAUCAUAUAAGAAAUAAACAAGAUCCAAAGGUUCCACUUUGAUUGAACACAUAACAGAGUCUGUUUUUCGAGGGAAGGAAAUGUUUUUCUAAGGAUUCUUGAAAAGCUUCAUAAAUAAUCCAAUGUAGCUCAGUUUUCAGUAUCAUUAUCUAAUGAAGACGAUUAUAAAGGCAAAACAAAUAAUCUGGUAUAACUUAUGGAACCAUCAACAUUAAAGAUACGCCGUGGAGCCUCCUCCUAAGGACCUUGCUCGAUCAAAACUUUCUCGUGGUGGCAUAACCAUGGAUUUGUAGUCGUAAAAUGUUGGUCUUCUUGAUCUACGAAUUCACGGAUCAGACAUCUUCGGUGGCAUUU
rnacentral:lncRNA from 1 species